rnacentral:tRNA from 1 species
UUAGGAUUAAGUGUAUUGGUAGCACGAAGAAUUUUGAAUUCUUAGGAGUAGGUUCAAUUCCUGUUAUCCUAG